UGAUCUCCAAUGUGUGUCCCUUAGACAAACUAUCCUUUUGUCCCACAUGAGAGUGAGUGAUGAUGAGUGACAGGAUGUUAGUCCUGGGCCGAUGGGAGGACAGUGUGCUGGAGUAGAGGACUGAAGUUUCACACACAUGAACAGCACAACCAGGUCAGUAGAGGACUGGAGCUUCACACACAUGAACAGCACAACGAGGUCAGUAGAGGACUGGAGCUUCACACACAUGAACAGCACAACCAGGUCAGUAGAGGACUGGAGCUUCACACACAUGAACAGCACAACCAGGUCAGUAGAGGACUGGAGCUUCACACACAUGAACAGCACAACCAGGUCAGUAGAGGACUGGAGCUUCACACACAUGAACAGCACAACCAGGUCAGUAGAAGACUGGAGCUUCACACACAUGAACAGCACAACCAGGUCAGUAGAGGACUGGAGCUUCACACACAUGAACAGCACAACCAGGUCAGUAGAGGACUGGAGCUUCACACACAUGAACAGCACAACCAGGUCAGUAGAGGACUGGAGCUUCACACACAUGAACAGCACAACCAGGUCAGUAGAGGACUGGAGCUUCACACACAUGAACAGCACAACCAGGUCAGUAGAGGACUGGAGCUUCACACACAUGAACAGCACAACCAGGUCAGUAGAAGACUGGAGCUUCACACACAUGAACAGCACAACCAGGUCAGUAGAGGACUGGAGCUUCACACACAUGAACAGCACAACCAGGUCAGUAGAGGACUGGAGCUUCACACACAUGAACAGCACAACCAGGUCAGUAGAGGACUGUGUAUUUCCUGGCGUAGUUUUAUGAUUCCUUUAUAGAAUCAUUCAUAAUGAUGUCAUUUAGGAAUCAGGGAAAGGACCAUCUGUAGUAUAUCUAGGCUGUGUGAGGACAUAUUAUGACCUGAUUGUCAGACUAGAGUAUUAUUAUGAGCCUGAAAUCCAGAGCCUGUUUUGUGACUACAUUCCACUCCUUGUACUCUGUGAGGAAUGAUGGCUAAACAGACUGGUACCCAAGCUGUUAUGAGGCCGUGGCUCUAAAAUGACUAUUUUCAACUUGUCAGGUAAAACACGCAGUUGUUCCUCCUCUGUUGUAUUGUUUGAGUGGAGAUGGAUGGCACCUUGAGGCGCACAGUGUCCCCGGUGCGCAGGCAUAGCCCGGUGCGUUAAAGCGCAGCGCCUCGUAUCGGCCGGGCUAGGUUGGGCAUCGAGCCAGAUGCCACAAAGCCGGCUCAGCGCAUCUGGUCUCCAGUGCGUCUCCUCUGGCCGGGGUACAUGGGGACCAGCCUUUCGCAUUGGGGGUCCCCGGUUUGCCAGCACAGCCCAGUGCGGGCUAUUCCACCUCGCCACACUGGCCUGGCUACGGGGAGCAAUCAACCAGGUAAGGUUGGGCUGGCUCGGUGCUCAAGAGCUCCAGUAUACCUUCAGGUCCGGUCUAUCCGGUGCCACCUCCACGCACCAGCCCUCCGGUGGCAGCCCCCAACACCAGGCUGUCUCUCCGUCUCCUUCCUACAGAUGCUCCCGCCUGUCCAGUGCUGCCAGAGUCUUCCUCCUGCCCAGCACUGUCAGAGUCUCCCGUCUGUCCUGAGCUGCCGGGGUCUCCCGUCUGUCCUGAGCUGCCGGAGUCUCCCGUCUGUCCUGAGCUGCCGGGGUCUCCCGUCUGUCCUGAGCUGCCGGAGUCUCCCGUCUGUCCUGAGCUGCCGGAGUCUCCCGUCUGUCCUGAGCUGCCGGAGUCUCCCGUCUGUCCUGAGCUGCCGGAGUCUCCCGUCUGUCCUGAGCUGCCGGAGUCUCCCGUCUGUCCUGAGCUGCCGGGGUCUCCCGUCUGU